AACGAACGCUGGCGGCAUGCCUAACACAUGCAAGUCGAACGAAGGCUUCGGCCUUAGUGGCGCACGGGUGCGUAACGCGUGGGAAUCUGCCCUUGGGUGCGGAAUAACUCGGAGAAAUCCGUGCUAAUACCGCAUAAUGUCGUAAGACCAAAUAUUUAUCGCCCAAGGAUGACCCCGCGUAGGAUUAGCUAGUUGGUGAGGUAAAGGCUCACCAAGGCGACGAUCCUUAGCUGGUCUAAGAGGAUGAUCAGCCACACUGGGACUGAGACACGGCCCACACUCCUACGGGAGGCAGCAGUGGGGAAUAUUGGACAAUGGGCGAAAGCCUGAUCCAGCAAUGCCGCGUGAGUGAUGAAGGCCUUAGGGUUGUAAAGCUCUUUUACCAGGGAUGAUAAUGACAGUACCUGGAGAAUAAGCUCCGGCUAACUUCGUGCCAGCAGCCGCGGUAAUACGAGGGGAGCUAGCGUUGUUCGGAAUUACUGGGCGUAAAGCGCACGUAGGCGGUUUUUUAAGUCAGAGGUGAAAGCCCGGGGCUCAACCCCGGAAUAGCCUUUGAAACUGGAAAACUUGAAUCUUGGAGAGGUCAGUGGAAUUCCGAGUGUAGAGGUGAAAUUCGUAUAUAUUC
rnacentral:rRNA from 1 species